AUGAACGCUGGCGGCGUGGAUAAGGCAUGCAAGUCGAACGAUUUGGCAUUUUUUAGCAAUAAACGAUGCCGGAUAGUGGCGAACGAGUUAGUAACACGUAGGUACAAACCCCGUUCACGGGAAUAAUCCGCCGAAAGGCGGACUAAUACCCGAUGGUCCGCGUAGAGCGCAAGCUUUUACGCGGUAAAGGCGCAAAGCCGGAACGGGAUUGGCCUGCGGCCUAUCAGCUAGUUGGCGGGGUAACGGCCCACCAAGGCGAUGACGGUAGGGG
rnacentral:rRNA from 1 species